UACGGAGGGUGCAAGCGUUAAUCGGAAUUACUGGGCGUAAAGCGCACGCAGGCGGUCUGUCAAGUCGGAUGUGAAAUCCCCGGGCUCAACCUGGGAACUGCAUUCGAAACUGGCAGGCUAGAGUCUUGUAGAGGGGGGUAGAAUUCCAGGUGUAGCGGUGAAAUGCGUAGAGAUCUGGAGGAAUACCGGUGGCGAAGGCGGCCCCCUGGACAAAGACUGACGCUCAGGUGCGAAAGUGUGGGGAGCAAACAGG
rnacentral:rRNA from 1 species